rnacentral:rRNA from 1 species
UACGAAGGGGGCUAGCGUUGUUCGGAUUUACUGGGCGUAAAGCGCACGUAGGCGGAUCUUUAAGUCAGAGGUGAAAUCCCAAGGCUCAACCUUGGAACUGCCUUUGAUACUGGGGAUCUCGAGUCCGGAAGAGGUGAGUGGAACUGCGAGUGUAGAGGUGAAAUUCGUAGAUAUUCGCAAGAACACCAGUGGCGAAGGCGGCUCACUGGUCCGGUACUGACGCUGAGGUGCGAAAGCGUGGGGAGCAAACAGG